rnacentral:rRNA from 1 species
UCGCCCKKUUUNACAAAAACAUGUCUUUAUGAAAGUUUAUAUAAAGUCUAGCCUGCCCAGUGAUGUUUAAAUUUAACGGCCGCGGUAGUAUGACCGUGCUAAGGUAGCAUAAUAAUUUGUCCUUUAAUUGGGGACUGGUAUGAACGGUUGAACAAGAAAUUAACUGUCUCUAUUGCAAACUUUGAACUUUACAUUUAAGUGAAAAGGCUUAAAUAGUAUAGGGGGACGAUAAGACCCUAUAAAUCUUUAUACUUUAACUAAUAAAUUUUAAAGAUUAGUUGCAAAUUUAGUGUUAUUAAGUUAAAAUAUUUUGUUGGGGCGACAGGAGUAUAAUAAGUAACUGCUUUGUUUAUAAAUUUAAUUAUUUUUAAUGUGUAAAUUNNGUAUUNGAUCCUCUGUUGGAGAAAUCAGACUAAGUUACUUUAGGGAUAACAGCGUAAUCUUUUUUGAGAGUCCAUAUCGAAAAAAUGGUUUGCGACCUCGAUGUUGAAUUAAAGAUCCUUGAUGGCGUAGGGGCUAUGAAGGAGGUCKUCGACCCAUCAAG